ensembl:lncRNA
CCUGAUCCUCGGUAGCGAAGGGCUGGAGGCAAACACCGAGCUCCCCCUGAGUCGCUUGGGAGCAGGGAGGGUUCUGCUACCCUGAGGGGCCCUCCCCGCGGGGCAGAGGGUGGGAGGAACUCACGGCAUGUACUUCUGAAUGUAUGCUUGCCUUGAGGAACAACGACAGGACACAGGGAUGUGGACAUUUUCAAUCAGAUGGUUCUGUCCGACAGUGUCGGCACACAGAGAGCGUUCCACUGACUGACCUCUUUUUGUUUUCAAAUGAAGAGAAGCCAAGAAUAGGACGGCCUAGGAAGGUGAGCUGCGUAAAACUCGUCAGACUGAGCUCAUCCUCGUCUAUGGCCAAAAGUUGGUUUCUCGUUUCUAGAAGAUGAAAGAUGUGAUGAUUUAGGAAAAAGCCAUUCUCUCUGCUUACUGCUUGCUGUUUGAGAUGUGCGUCUUCACACAUUCCUACCGACGUAUCUGACCGAUGCUGCCAAGAUUACCUGAUGGGAUGGACGCUAAUGCCUCUACAACCAGAAGCCCAAGUAAACUCUUCUAUAAGUUGAAUUAAUUAUGCUUUUUAAAAAAAAUCUUUAUUUUAUGUGCAUUGAUGUUUCGACUACAUGUAUGCCUGUGGGAGAGUGUCAGAGUCCUUAGGAUCGUGGCUACCAAUAGUUGUGAACCACCAUGUGGGUGCUGGGAAUUGAACCCGGGUCCUUUAGAAGAGCAGCCAGUGCUCUUAACCACUGGACCACUCCUCUAUAUCCCCAUCAUGGUGCUUUAAUUACAGCAAAGGAAAAAUAACAAACAUAACCAGGUUAGUCAGCGGGCACACUGAUGACAGAUCUUCCUAAGGGCAAUCAUUAGUGGGAGGGCUUACCCUGGAUGGGACAGCACUCUUCUGUGGGUUUGGGUCUUGGACAGGGUAAACGUAGAGAGGGAGUUGAGCACAAGCAAGCAAGCAUGGUCCAUUCUUUCUCUGCUCUUGGCUGUGGAUGUAAUGUGUCUAGCCGCUUCAAGUUUCUGCCUUGCAUCCCGUGCAAUGAUAGACUAUAAUCUGGAGUUGUGAGCUAAAACAAAACAAAACCCAUUUUCUCUCCGUAUGUUGCUUUUUGGUCAAAGUAUUUUAUCCCAGUAACAGAAAAGACAUGAGGACCGGCAAGAAGAGGACAUACCAUAGAGUCAGGAGCAGGAUGUAGUACCAAGUUGUAGAGGCCAGGGAGGAAUAUAGGCACAGAGCAGCCGCAGUCAGAAUGUGCAGGGAGAAGAGUGAGAGAGGAUGUAUCUAGGAGGUGAGCUGGCUCAAACAAUAACAGCCUGGUCUUGCUAUCUGAAGUUUACCUUCAGGCAGAGGGAGCCACUAACUGUCCUAGUAUGAAGGAAGGACACUGGGUGAUUUUUGCACUUGUGUGUGCGUGCGUGCAUGCAUGUCCCUCCUCUAGAGACUGAGCUUUGCACAUAUAUCACACGGCUUCAGUCCCAGUCCCAUGUUUUGGUUUCAAUCAAGUUUUAUACAAAUGUUUAAUGGGAAAAAUUAUGAGUUUAUUCUUUUAUUUCUCAUUAAUAAUAUUUUUGGGUUUUUAUUUGGUAAAUUCUAAAACAAGAUGAUUAUUUCAAAAGAGAAAUCCGCUUCACCCUGCCUCUGACUUUUCCACCAGACGUAAUCAGAAUCCUAGAGGAAGUCACAAGUUAAAGUUAGGACUCUGUUCAUAGUCGGUUCUGUUUCUAUAACAUCCAACAUACAGUGUCCAGCCCAAGUACAAAACAUUUUAGGAGGUUGGGGAUUUAGCUCAGUGGUAGAGCGCUUGCCUAGCAAGCGCAAGGCCCUGGGUUCGGUCCCCAGCUCUGAAAAAAAGAAAAGAAAAAAAAACAUUUUAGAAUUAAUGGAGUACCCAAGUUGUGUCCCUUCUGCAUAGCAUUAUAUGGAAAUUAAUAUACACAAGAGAAAAAAAAACCUGAUAGAUGUAAUCAAGUUCAGACAUUUUGGUUCUGAUAUCUUAUUUUUAACUUAUUUUAAUUGGCAUGUAAUGCUUGCUUGUAUUUAUAGGGUAGCGUGUGAUUAUUCAAUCCAUACAUGCAACGUGCAUAUAUCAAGUCAGCAAGAUUGGCCUUUCUGUCUUAUUGGACAUCUGUCAUGCUUCUGUGUCUGGAGCCUGCAAAGGCCUCUCUUCUAGCUCUUUGUAAAUGUGGAGUAAGUUGUGAAAACCAUAUUCACCAUGUUAUGUUAUCAUUGCUUUCUAACUGGUGUCCAUUAUUCAGUCUCCCUCUGUCCCACAUCUCCUACCUCCAAAGCCUCUUUCUACGACAUGCUAUUAUGUUAUGUUUUCAGGAAUCGAUUAUACGGAGGAGAAUGGGUGCACAGUAGUACUAGGGCCAGUGUGGAGGAUAUUGCAGUACCUAGAAAAGGAAAUGAUGUCGAUCCAAGCUUGCCAAGGGCAGCAGGGAUGCAGAGACGAGGGUCUGAGAGGCACAAAGCCGGUGCUCCAGGUAGGGCCAGAGAUGUUCUGAUGCUCCAGGCUUUGGUGGGCAGGGGUGGGGGGUAACGGGCAAGGAAGGAAGACCUGUUGGGCAGAGCCGAGGGCAGAAACCCUUCCAUUCCCCUGAGGACCUCCUGGAUGUCACUGGAGCUGGGGACUUUGCUGUGCAAUGCAAAGGAGGUUUCAUGAUGAAGUCAGACCCUGGCAGCUAGAGGGGAUGGGGCUCUUAACACCUGCCAGACUGUUAAGACCGAAUCCGUGUGGAACCUAGGCUGCAAAUGAGAGGUCUUCAGUACCUGCAGCCAAGCAGGGCCUGACAAGCUGUUUCCAUGGAGACACAGAGCUGUGUGCAGGCGUAGGCGGGUUGAUCCAUUCCAGAGCCUUGGGUCACAAGGCUGUAGCGAGCUAACAGGAAGAAGGUGUUAUCGAUCAGGAAAGGAUGUACAAAGCAUUGGCAGCUAAUUGAGGUUGUGUUGUCAUAAUUCUGGAUUAAGUUUAACAAAUCAGGGUCCUGUUGGCCCCCACUUAGCAAGAGCACAAGGAAGCAGACACUAAUUCAGGCUAACUCUGAAUGUGCAGACACCCAGCCCAAGCCACUCUGUACCCUUGAGCUCUUAAGUAGCUACAUAUCUCUUCCAACUGUCGGAGACACAGACAGCAACCGGGGAGCUAAUCUUUUUUUCAUUUGUCAUAGGAAUGGCAGAAAUAUUCAGGAAACCUAAGCCCGACUCUUGAAAAAAAAAUUCAGAUGCUGGCAGAGCCCCAAAAUGGAUAUUGGGAAGCAUUUUGAGAACUACUGUUCACAGAGAGCACAGAGAGAAGCUUCCAGCACUUUGGAGGCAGAGGUCAGGUUAUUGGGAUAGGAGCUCUAACCUGCCCAGGGAGUCAGACCUUGUCAAUCAAAGUCUCAACACAUCCUUGCUGUGGAUACUAAAUCCCACCCUGUUCUCCAAAAAGUGCAGCCAAGAGGUGGAGGGCUUCAUCCCUGACUAAGCCUCCGCUUAGGACACUCUCACGUCCAGAAGGUCAUAAGGGCACCUGGAUAAGACAUCGUGAGUGAACCUCUAUGGCUUCUCCAGUAUUGAAAGCCACAUCAGUUGCACACGUUUCUAAGAGGGUCCGCUGGUGCACGUGUUUAUGAAGAUGUCUCACAAUAUAAAGAGAUUUCAGUUCUUUGUGCCACCCACAUCCUUGAGUAUGUCUCCUGAGACACACGUGGGAGUCUGUCUGGGGUAUAAAUGAGGAUGGACGUUGCCCGAAAUGCAUAUGGGCUUUUGACUUCACCCGGUUGCUUUCGGGACUAUUGUGCACAAUGGCCAAAUGGAGGCUCUCUUUUUCAUUUACCAAUUACUCUUCUUAAAGAAAUACGUGAGGAGGAGCGUUAUGGGUUCCCAAGGUAUGAGAGACUGGUUCUUGCUCUGAAGAAGGUUUCAUUCUCAUCCGAAUGGAGAGACAUUUGCACUUGAAGGCAGCUGUGAUUUGGGAGCCCAGGAUGUGAGGAAUGUGUGCCACUGAAGUAAGGACCCACCCAGAAUGUGGGCUAAGCCUCCCCUCUCAUGACCCUCAACUGAAAUCACAGCUUUUGCCAUGGAAUGCAGAGAUGAAUCCUGGGGCAGCAGCGAGUGUGAGAAGAGAAGGGAAGCAGAAUAAGACAAGGUGUUCUGCCAGAGGGAGCUUGAGUAUCCACGGAAAGACGGAAUGCCUGCACAAGUGGCUUCGCAGAACAGUAAUGUGCUACAGGAUGAAGCCAUGCCUCAAGAAGGUUCUUGGAUGCUGUAAGAAGGGACCGACGGGACUGGAGAGAUGGCCCAUGGUUAAGAACACUGGCUGUUGUUCCAGGGGAUCCAGGUUGAAUUCCCAGCACCUACAUGGCAGCUCACAACUGUCUGUCACUCCAAUUCCAGAGGAUACGGCCACCCUCACACAGACAUACAUGAAAUGUCUGAGCUACUGAAGGGAGAUAAAGUUGCAUGCUGGUUAAAUGGCUUCUAGCUGUGAGUGCAAACAUGGAAAUGUACUGAGCCAUUGCAAUGAGGAAGCUGCUUCUCGAACCUAAGAAGGCUGCAGCAGAGCUGCGGGCAAGUUCCUGAAGCAGCUGAGGUCAUUCACCCUUCUCGCUGGCUCAGGCCCGGCCUUCAGCAAGAUUAAGAUUUGGAUUUGGAAAACCUGAGUGACCCAUCAAGACAAAAACAAUGUGAUAAGAAAUUUUCUUUCUCCUCUUGUUUUCCCUGUGUCUGGAGUUUCUUCAAGAACAUGAAAUGAGAGAGAAAACCAUAACUUAAAGGUAUUGAGAUAUGAGAACAUUUUGAGAAGGCACUUGGGUGGCGCUCUGUCUGUAACUGAACCUUGCCUGUGCUUGGCUGGCACUCCCUUUACAGCACGCAGAGUCUUGAGGUCCAAAGCCCCUCUUCCUGCAAAAUGGUUAUCCUGGUGGCAUUGCUCUAAAUAGAAGGACUUAGGUAGGGUAAACAGGAGGAUUGUGAGCAAGCCUUAAGGUUUCUGAUCACUAGAAAAGCAGAUCUUUUAAGAGGGUUUACCAGGAACCUCAGCCUUUAACCUUUCCUGCAAAGGUCAGCUACCACAGGCAUGGGCAUCUAGUUCCUGCUCAGUCCUGAUGGCCUGUAUCAGCUCAAGUCCCCACCCCGAUGACUGUCAUAUCUGCUUGGUUUCCCACCAUUUUGCUUUUCUCUCUACCUUGGCAGUUUGAGCCCCAGUGAAUCUUUCUUUCUGCCCAUAGACCAGUCUAGUUCAGUAAUUUCUCUGCCCCGAGUCUCAGGUAUUAAUCUGCGAGGACGGCCUCCAUCUGGGGACUUUUUUCUGUUCUCAGUGAAGUGGCACAUUCAGUUCCUGGUGCAGCGUCCGUUCGUUUCUUUUAGUCAUUUCACAGCUGUUUGCUGGGAGAAGCAAGACUGAACUACUUGGGGCUGAUUUCACAAGGAAGCUGAAAACAAGGCCUUCCCAGUUCCCGUUUGUGAUUUUCAAGUCAAUAAAGCAUGUCUGUCUUGGUGGAUGUUUCUCUCUAACUGGCUUCAGUUGUCUGCUGAGCUGUCUACCUGGCUUCCCCUUGGCUGGGAAACCUCGGUUUGUGGCCAUCCUGUUACAGGUGGAUGGCUGCCCGGCUGCCCACCGUUGUUUGUUAUUAAAUUGGUGAUGCAAUUUCUGUUUGGCAGUUUGUGACUGCAAGGUUAUUCAAGGAUGCUGUUUAGAAAUACAAGUGAGCUACAGAACGAGAUGUCGGAGCGGAUGGUCGGUUUGUUAUGUUUUUUUCUUUUUUUUUUUAAGGCUGUUCAGGGACAGUAGACGAAUGCACAAAUUUGUUAUUGUGGAUUGUUAUGAAUCCCAAAGACGCACAUACGGGGAUCAUUAUUGUAGAUUGGCUUGUGACAGCUGGCCCUGAUUUACUUAUUUCCUCAAGAAGACACUUUGAACAAUUAUUGAAAUGCCUCCCCUCUGUAAUUAUAAUAAUAAUGAUGAUGAUUUUGCAACUGAAUAUGCAAUUCAGGGCGUACACACUCAACUGUUUUUAGCUUGUUUCUCUUUUUACAUUGAUGUCAGCUGCUGUCUUGGCUUGUGAAGAGCUGAGAAGGACUUUCCAACCAAGGGUCAAUGAGCUACAUGAAGAGUCAUCUGUGGCCAACCCGGGAAAUUACUAAAAUAAUAAUUUUAGUAAUAUACAUUACAAUACAAUAAUAUUACAGUUAGUAUGUAAGGAGCAAGCUAACUAUGGGCAGGGUUCUUUUUUCUCCUUUUU